AAUAGACCAAACAGUGCUGAAUUAUAGCACCACUCGAUUUUCCCAAUUGAUUUCAAUCGAUCCAACUUCAAUCGACAGAUCCUACUCUUUCAAAGACGAAUCAACGACUGACUCAUAUGCUCUUGUCGCUACUGACCAUAUGGGAAAAAAUCAAAGAAUUUUCUUUGCAAGUUGUUUUCUAGGAGAUACUCUCGAUGGUGGUGGUUAACACAAACAUAUUCCCGUCGACUCUAAAAAGGGGCGUGUUUUUUUAACAUUCUUUCAAUCAUAAAAUUUGAUAAUUUUCAAUUUGUCAUAGCUUUCACAAUAUUUAGGACCAAAAAUCAGCUGACUCUGGGGAAUCAUUUAUUUCCUUGUACAUAUGACAAGUCGGCUGCACAUAUGAUGCAUAGUUUUAAUCGAAAGAGAACCGAAAAACACUAGUAGAUUAGCGGCUACAACUGAACCCCCAGGGGCAACAAACUUGUAAGUGAAACUGAGUCGUAAACAAGUGUUACAUUUCAUUCGACACUUUUCCCCUAAGAUUAGACUGCAAGAAUGACGACAAAUAGUAAAUGUUUAAAA